CACGGGAGCAAAACAUUUUGCAACUAAAAGGGCCCGUCCCUGUUCUAUAUAUAAUUUAUUUAACUAAAACAUUUUCUUCUGUUUGGUCUUCACCUGGGAGUUACUGGUGCUGCCAUAGUUGUGAUGUCUGGCCAUGGAGGUGACUGGUGCUGCCAUAGUUGUGAUGUCUGGCCAUGGAGGUGACUGGUGCUGCCAUAGUUGUGAUGUCUGGCCAUGGAGGUGACUGGUGCUGCCAUAGUUGUGAUGUCUGGUG